rnacentral:rRNA from 1 species
GGUGAACGCUGGCGGCGUGCCUAACACAUGCAAGUCGAGCGGUGCAGCUGGAGGCUUCGGCCGAAGGCUGCAUAGUGGCGGACGGGUGCGUAACGCGUAGGAACGUGCCCCCUGGAGGCGGAUAGCCGCGGGAAACUGCGGGUAAACCGCCAUAGACUCGGGAGAGUAAAGGCCGUAAGGCGCCAGGGGAGCGGCCUGCGUCCCAUCAGGUAGUUGGUAGGGUAACGGCCUACCAAGCCUACGACGGGUAGCCGGUCUGAGAGGAUGGCCGGCCACAAGGGCACUGAGACACGGGCCCUACUCCUACGGGAGGCAGCAGUGGGGGAUAUUGGACAAUGGGCGAAAGCCUGAUCCAGCGACGCCGCGUGGAGGACGAAGCCCUUCGGGGUGUAAACUCCUUUUGUCGGGGAAAAAGGGCUGAUGGUACCCGACGAAUAAGCCCCGGCUAACUACGUGCCAGCAGCCGCGGUAAUACGUAGGGGGCGAGCGUUACCCGGAACCACUGGGCGUAAAGGGUGCGUAGGCGGCCGCGUGUGUUUGGCGUAAAAUUCCACGGCUCAACUGUGGGUAUGCGCUGGAAACUACGUGGCUUGGGUGCGGCAGAGGCAGACGGAACUGCUGGUGUAGGGGUGAAAUCCGUAGAUAUCAGCAGGAACGCCGGUGGAGAAGUCGGUCUGCUGGGCCGUAACCGACGCUGAGGCACGAAAGCUAGGGGAGCGAACCGGAUUAGAUACCCGGGUAGUCCUAGCCGUAAACGAUGCUCACUAGGUGUGGGGGCGGAAGCCUCCGUGCUGAAGCGAACGCGAUAAGUGAGCCGCCUGGGGAGUACGCCCGCAAGGGUGAAACUCAAAGGAAUUGACGGGGGCCCGCACAAGCGGUGGAGCGUGUGGUUUAAUUGGAAGCUAAGCCAAGAACCUUACCAGGGCUUGACAUGCUGGUGGUACCGAGCCGAAAGGUGAGGGACCCUGCCGUAAGGUAGGGAGCCAGCACAGUGGUGCACGGUCGUCGUCAGCUCGUGCCGUGAGGUGUUGGGUUAAGUCCCGCAACGAGCGCAACCCCUGCCCUUAGUUGCCAGCGGUUCGGCCGGGCACUCUAAGGGGACUGCCG